AAAGAAGAAAAGAAACAGAAAAGCUAGAAAAGAAGCAGGGAAAGAGACGAAAACAGGGGAAGAUAAGGGGAAAGAAAAAUAAAAGGGAAAACUGAGGAUUUAAAGCUUCAAGUUAAUUGCUAACAAGGAAAACGAGGCAUCGGCAUCUAAAGGAAAAGAAAAGAUCGUUGAGGAGUAAACGCGUAUUCCGGUGAAAUGUCUAGUUCUGAAGCAGCUUGUGAAAUGAUGCAAAAGUUGAAGGAAUCUUUGUAUGAAUUGUUUGAUGAGUAUAAGCCUCCACUUCAUGGUACUUGUAGCCAAUCGAGUGUGUCAACACAUGUUUCUAUUGGUGAACCACAACAAAAAAUGAAAAGGCGAAUGCAAGCUUUGUAUAAAAAGCGUGAGUUGGAAAUUUGUGGUGAGGAUAAAACAUCUGAGUUGGAUAAAUAUCUAGCUGAGGCUAAUGAAGAAUUUGUUGAAGAUUUUGAUAUUUUAUUGUGGUGGAAAGUGAACAGCCCUAGAUUUCCCACUCUUUCAAAAAUUGCCAGAGAUGUGUUAGCUAUACCGGUUUCUACGGUUGUUUGAGUCUGCAUUUAGUACCGGAGGACGUGUGCUUGAUCAAUAUAGGAGUUCUUUAACUCCUAAAAUUGUACAAGCUCUUGUGUAUACUCAAGAUUGGAUUCGAAGAUCAUCAUCACAAGAAGACAUAAAAAAGAUUGAAGAACAAAUCCAAGAGCUUGACAAGAUUGAAAAUGGUUUAAUGCAAAUGGAGAUAUUUUGGAGAGAUGAAAUGGAUAUAUUUUGGAAAGAUGAAAUGGAUAUAAAUGGAGAAUGUUAAAAACAUACAUUUCAAUUAUGUGUUAAUUCAAGACUUAUGUAAUAUUUUUAAUUAUGUAGUGAUUCAAAUACUUAUGUAAUAUUUUUAAUUAUGUAGUGAUUCAAAUAUUUAUGUAAUGUUUUUAAUUAUGUAGUGAUUUAAUUC